rnacentral:rRNA from 1 species
GUUUGAUUCUGGCUCAGAUUGAACGCUGGCGGCAUGGCUAAAACAUGCAAGUCGAACGGACCGCAAGGUCAGUGGCGGAAGGGUGAGUAAGAGUAUCGAACGUGCCCCGAGGUGGGGGAUAGGCAUGGGAAACUGUGCAUAAUACCUCAUGAUCUCCAAGGAGCAAAGCUACGGCGCCUUGGGAGCGGCGAUACACCUAUCAGGUAGUUGGUGGGGUAAAGGCCCACCAAGCCUAAGACGGGUAGCCGGCGUGAGAGCGCGGCCGGCCACAUCGGGACUGAGACACUGCCCGGACUCCUACGGGAGGCUGCAGUAACGAAUAUUCCGCAAUGCACGAAAGUGUGACGGAGCAAUGCCGCGUGCGGGAUGAAGCGUCUUCGACGUGUAAACCGCUGUCAGGAGAUAGUAAUACUGAACAUCUCCAGAGGAAGGGGCGACUAACUCUGUGCCAGCAGUCGCGGUAAUACAGAGGCCCCGAGCGUUAAUCGGAAUUACUGGGCUUAAAGGGUGCGUAGGCGGACGCGUAAGUGUCUUGUGAAAGCCCUCGGCUCAACCGGGGAAUUGCAGGGCAUACUGCGGGUCUUGAG